AGCGAACGCUGGCGGCAGGCCUAACACAUGCAAGUCGAGCGCCGUAGCAAUACGGAGCGGCAGACGGGAGAGUAACACGUGGGAACGCGCCCUUUGGUUCGGAACAACCCAGGGAAACUUGGGCUAAUACCGGAUAAGCCCUUACGGGGAAAGAUUUAUCGCCGAAGGAUCGGCCCGCGUCUGAUUAGCCAGUUGGUGGGGUAAUGGCCCACCAAGGCGACGAUCAGUAGCUGGUCUGAGAGGAUGAUCAGCCUCACUGGGACUGAGACACGGCCCAGACUCCUACGGGAGGCAGCAGUGGGGAAUAUUGGACAAUGGGCGCAAGCCUGAUCCAGCCACGCCGCGUGGGUGAUGAAGGCCCUAGGGUUGUAAAGCCCUUUCGGCGGGGAAGAUAAUGACGGUACCCGCAGAAGAAGCCCCGGCUAACUUCGUGCCAGCCGCCGCCGUAA
rnacentral:rRNA from 1 species